GGAAUCGCUAGUAAUCGCAAAUCAGAAUGUUGCGGUGAAUACGUUCCCGGGCCUUGUACACACCGCCCGUCACACCAUGGGAGUGGGUUGUACCAGAAGUAGAUAGCUUAACCUUCGGGGGGGCGUUUACCACGGUAUGAUUCAUGACUGGGGUGAAGUCGUAACAAGGUAACCGUAGGGGAACCUGCGGUUGGAUCACCUCCUUACCUAAAAUGAAGC
rnacentral:rRNA from 1 species